AUGGCGCGGUGCAUGCCCCUCCUCGCCUCCCUGCUGCUGCUGGCCCUCGCCGGCGUCGCCUCCGCCGACAAGGCCCCCGAGAGCGGCUUCAUCGUCACCGGCCGCGUCUACUGCGACCCCUGCCGCGCCGGCUUCGAGACCAACGUCUCCAAAAACGUCGAAGGGGCGACGGUGGCGAUGGACUGCCGGCCGUUCGGCGGCGGCGAGAGCAAGCUCAAGGCGGAGGCGACGACGGACAACAAGGGGUGGUACAAGAUCGAGAUCGACCAGGACCACCAGGACGAGAUCUGCGAGGUGGUGCUGACCAAGAGCCCCGACGCGUCGUGCGCCGAGAUCGAGGAGUUCCGCGACCGCGCGCGCGUCCCGCUCACCAGCAACAACGGCAUGAAGCAGCAGGGCACCCGCUUCGCCAACCCCAUCGCCUUCUUCCCCAAGGAGCCGCGCAAGGAGUGCGGCGGCAUCCUCCAGGCUUACGACCUCAAGGACGCACCCGAGAACCCAUGA
rnacentral:rRNA from 1 species